UACAGAGGUCUCAAGCGUUGUUCGGAUUCAUUGGGCGUAAAGGGUGCGUAGGCGGCGCGGUAAGUCGGGUGUGAAAUCUCGGGGCUUAACUCCGAAACUGCAUUCGAUACUGCCGUGCUUGAGGACUGGAGAGGAGACUGGAAUUUACGGUGUAGCGGUGAAAUGCGUAGAUAUCGUAAGGAACACCCGUGGCGAAGGCGGCUCUCUGGUACGUGACUGACGCUGAGACGCGAAAGCGUGGGGAGCGAACAGG
rnacentral:rRNA from 1 species